rnacentral:lncRNA from 10 species
CUUUUUGCUCACCCCACCUGGUACUCCAUGUCGUAGCUGGGCAGGAUGAUCCGCCCGUGCUUCCACUCGCCGCCCUGGUCCUCACGGAUGACCCACAGCAACUUGCUCUCCUGGCUGGCUUCCCGCACCACCUGCAGCGCCACCCCGCGGCCGCCCGUGGCCUGCAUUUACUGACUGUACUGCUGAUUUUAUGUUUUUAAAAGGACUUCAGGCAGGCCAUUUUCCAUGGAUUUCAGCAGUUAUCUAGUGAGGGAGAAUGAGACAGCUAUAAAGAUACCAGCCACUGAACACUCCAUCAAGGGAUCCCACAGAAGACACAUCCCUCCAUUACUUGCUUCUUGGUUCAUACCAAAACCAGGGAACUAAAGAAUCAUCAAGGGCCCCUGGUGGUUGCUCUCAUGUGAGUGUCCAAAGCACUGGAGCAGUGUUGUCCAAUACAUUCUGUGAUGAUGCCGUGUAUACAGUGACGUGCCCUGUCUAUGCACUGACCAAUACAGUGUAGCUACUGUGCCCUUGGAAUGUGGCUGGUGGGACAGCAGAACCGAAGUUUUGGCUGUAAUCAUUUUAAUUAAUUAAAAUAAAAUUGCCACACAUGGC